GAAGGUCCGGUAUUGAAGUUGGCUGAAACAUUAAAAAGAAACUUUUCACUUUUAUUUUUCUAAAUAGAGGGAAAUUUUAUUAUUUUCCAUUUAUAUAGGAAAGUCAAUGCGUGACCUAUUUUUAUAACCAGUAUAGAUGUGGAAUUGUUCGGGGCUAAUAACUUUUAUGAAUCAGUGACGAAAGAAACUUGGAGUUGUGUAUAUUUUGUAGGAAAGAAAAAAAAUGGAAAAGUUGUGAUACAAACUAGAAAUUGGAGUAUUCUAGGAUUAGAGUAUUUUACCAAGCGAUGUUAAAGUCUCCUUGUGUUAAGAGUGGGCUUCAAGCUUCAAGGGUAUAUUCCUGUGACGAGAGAGUUUGUUUGCCAUCAGAGUUUUUGCAUCUAAAGCAAAAGAAAAGAAGAAAUUUUCUUUGAAAGAAGAAAAAGGAAUUUGCAAAAAAUAAGUUUUGGCAAAUUUCGGAAUCCAACUAGUUGAAAUCCAAUUGUUUAAUAUUGAAAAUCAAGAUGAAGACGACUCCUAUGAAUAAAGGAUUGAUCAGUUUAAAGCAGCAAUAUUGGAAGACGAGGGUUACUGGGAGUGUCAGUUUCCUGACUACAAUGAUUGGCAGUUGCUAGUGUAAAAUUGGAGAGAAGCUUCACUGAAAUUGGGGACUUUGUAUCCUCGUAUUCAAUUGCAACGAAUAAAUAAUAGCAAGCAGGGAAAGAGAAAGAGAAAGAGGAAACAAAAACUAAUUUCUAAGUUCAAAUUAGGUUUCUUUCAUUUUGUUUUAAAAUUAUAGGUAAU